rnacentral:rRNA from 1 species
CAGCAGCCGCGGUAAUACGAAGGGGGCUAGCGUUGCUCGGAAUUACUGGGCGUAAAGGGAGCGUAGGCGGACAUUUAAGUCAGGGGUGAAAUCCCAGAGCUCAACUCUGGAACUGCCUUUGAUACUGGGUGUCUUGAGUGUGAUAGAGGUAUGUGGAACUCCGAGUGUAGAGGUGAAAUUCGUAGAUAUUCGGAAGAACACCAGUGGCGAAGGCGACAUACUGGAUCAUUACUGACGCUGAGGCUCGAAAGCGUGGGGAGCAAACAGGAUUAGAUACCCCAGUAGUCCCUGUCUCUUAUAC